AGAUGCGAUCAUACCAGCACUAAUACACCGUAUCCCAUCAGAACUCCGCAGUUAAGCGUGCGUGGGCGAGAGUAGUACUACGAUGGGUGACCUCCUGGGAAGUCCUCGUGUUGCAUCCC
rfam:Arabidopsis thaliana chromosome 5, complete sequence.